rnacentral:rRNA from 1 species
ACGUAGGACGCAAGCGUUAUCCGGAAUUACUGGGCGUAAAGGGCGUGUAGGCGGCACGGUAAGUCAACCGUGAAAGCUCCCGGCUAAACUGGGAGAGGUCGGAUGAGACUGCCGAGCUAGAGGGUCGUAGAGGGGUGUGGAAUUCCGGGUGUAGUGGUGAAAUGCGUAGAGAUCCGGAGGAACACCAGAGGCGAAAGCGACUCUCUGGUCCGAAACUGACGCUGAGUGUGCGAAAGCUAGGGGAGCAAACGG